UACGGAGGGUGCGAGCGUUGUCCGGAAUCAUUGGGCGUAAAGGGCGCGUAGGUGGCCCGGUCAGUUCGUGGUGAAAGCGCGGGGCUCAACCCUGCGUCGGCCAUGAAUACUGCCGCGGCUGGAGCACUGUAGAGGCAGGCGGAAUUCCGGGUGUAGCGGUGGAAUGCGUAGAUAUCAGGAGGAACACCGGUGGCGAAGGCGGGUCUCUGGGCCGAUAUCGACGCUGAGGAGCGAAAGCGUGGGGAGCGAACAGG
rnacentral:rRNA from 1 species